CGCAAGAUGUAGUGUUUUCAAUCAUCUUGCGGAUGUUCUUUUCGGACUCCGACUCCGAAGGUCGCAGGUUCGAAUCCUGUCGGGCAUACCA
rnacentral:tRNA from 1 species